CUUCAUCCCGCAACAAUAGUUAAUUCUCAUCUCUCUCUCACCCGCACGCGCACACACACGCACACACACGCGCACACGCACACGCACGCACGAACACACACACACAUUCAUGCACGCACGCACAUUUCCUCUCUUUAUCUAUCUAUCUUGAUUUCUAUCUUGCAACAAUCUUCAUGAUAAUGCGUUGUGAUUACUCAUUACGCGUACCAUUCAUAUGCACCGUUCGUAUGCAUGUAAGCGUACGAUUACAUUAAAAAUGCUGUUUUGGCUUUGGCAGAAAAGAGAUCAGAGAACCGUCCCACUGCUCCGCGCCGAGUACUUAAUUUAAGAUGAUUUUUCCGAGGGACUUAAUAGCGCGAGUCGAAGAAAGAUUGGGAAAGGAGAAAAGGAAGAAAGGGAGAAAGAAAACAAUUGUUGGCGCGCCAUACGCAAUGGAAUGUCUAUGUAUGGAACGAUGCUCCGCGAGCUGUAAAGGACAAGUUCUCUGAAGCUCCCGUCAACCGUACAGAUUAUAAACGUUGUCUCUUCGCUUUACGUUACAUUACAUUAAAUUACAUUUAAUUACAUUUAAUGUAAUUCACAAAUUACAUUUAAUUACAUUACAUUAUAUUACAUUACAUGCUGCCAGUAUAAGCUGACAUCUCAAUUAUAUUAACUAGUAAUAAACGUUUAAUCUAUUUA